rnacentral:rRNA from 1 species
UACGUAGGGUGCAAGCGUUGUCCGGAAUUAUUGGGCGUAAAGAGCUCGUAGGCGGUUUGUUGCGUCGGCUGUGAAAUCCCGAGGCUCAACCUCGGGUCUGCAGUCGAUACGAGCAAACUAGAGUGUUGCAGGGGAGACUGGAAUUCCUGGUGUAGCGGUGAAAUGCGCAGAUAUCAGGAGGAACACCGGUGGCGAAGGCGGGUCUCUGGGCCUGACCUGACGCUGAGGAGCGAAAGCGUGGGGAGCGAACAGG